rnacentral:rRNA from 1 species
GAUGAACGCUGGCGGCGUGCCUAAUACAUGCAAGUAGAACGCUGAAGGAGGAGCUUGCUCUUCUGGAUGAGUUGCGAACGGGUGAGUAACGCGUAGGUAACCUGCCUGGUAGCGGGGGAUAACUAUUGGAAACGAUAGCUAAUACCGCAUGACAACAGUUAUUGCAUGAUAACUGUUUAAAAGGGGCAACUGCUCCACUACCAGAUGGACCUGCGUUGUAUUAGCUAGUUGGUGAGGUAACGGCUCACCAAGGCGAUGAUACAUAGCCGACCUGAGAGGGUGAUCGGCCACACUGGGACUGAGACACGGCCCAGACUCCUACGGGAGGCAGCAGUAGGGAAUCUUCGGCAAUGGACGGAAGUCUGACCGAGCAACGCCGCGUGAGUGAAGAAGGUUUUCGGAUCGUAAAGCUCUGUUGUAAGAGAAGAACGAGUGUGAGAGUGGAAAGUUCACACUGUGACGGUAUCUUACCAGAAAGGGACGGCUAACUACGUG